rnacentral:rRNA from 1 species
AUUGAACGCUAGCGGCAGGCUUAACACAUGCAAGUCGAACGAGUGGCGGACGGGUGAGUAAUAUCUGGGAAACUGCCCGAUGGCGGGGGAUAACUACUGGACACAGUAGCUAAUACCGCAUACUAUCGGAUGUGCCCAUAUGGGAUUAGCUAGUGGGUGGGGUAACGGCUCACCAAGGCGACGAUCCCUAGCUGGUCUGAGAGGAUGACCAGCCACACUGGAACUGAGACAUGGCCCAGACUCCUACGGGAGGCAGCAGUGGGGAAUAUUGCACAAUGGGGGCAAGCCUGAUGCAGCCAUGCCGCGUGUAUGAAGAAGGCCUUCGGGUUGUAAAGUACUUUCAGCGGGGAGGCGUUACUCGCAGAAGAAGCACCGGCUAACUCCGUGCCAGCAGCCGCGGUAAUAC